UACACAUGUUUCUCCUAUUGUGCUCGCUAUAGAAUAUAGGCGGUUAGUACGAAUCUGCAGACGACAAACUCUUGGACAACAGAAUUUUAUAUUUAUUCUUCUCUGUGAAGUGCAUUUCCUUACUGUCUUUGGAGAGAAGAUCAUAUACCGGAUCAGAGGGCUGCAACGAUCCUGCAUCUGAUCAUCCACACCGGCCUCUGGACACCAGGAUCCCUCCCCCGUGCCCUGGGCCCCUAAUGGGUGCACAGAGUGGAGUGAUCAUUGUCAAUUACACACCGGAGACCACUAGCUAGGUAGGGCAAGGCGGGACCGUCGUACUCCCUACGGUAAGUGGAUUUAUCGGAUUGUCAUAUUGUCGUUUAUUGAUCAUAUCUCCACACCACUCAUCAGAUCCUUGUAGUGAGUGACUGAUGAUGCAGUAUUCAUCAUGGAGAGUAUAGUAAGGUAUCAUUAAGAUAUCUCUUAAGUGCCCCUACUUUAAUAAGCGUUAUUGUCCCUUGUCUUUAUUUAAGGGAACCACUUGUAAUUGCUUUUGCUUUAGUUUUUAAGGUUCCAUGCCUCAAUUCAAUUAAAUUCAUUUCAUUUUAUUUCCAAUUCUCGCAAAAAA